GACGAACGCUGGCGGCGUGCUUAACACAUGCAAGUCGAACGGAGUGGCGAACGGGUGAGUAACACGUGGGUGACCUGCCCUGCAAUUCGGGAUAAGCCUGGGGAACUGGGUCUAAUACCGGUUAGUGUGGGAUGGGCCCGCGGCCUAUCAGCUUGUUGGGGGGGUAAUGGCCUACAAAGUCGGCGACGAGUAGCCGGCCUGAGAGGGUGGACGGCCACAUUGGGACUGAGACACGGCCCAGACUCCUACGGGAGGCAGCAGUGGGGAAUAUUGCACAAUGGGCGGAAGCCUGAUGCAGCGACGCCGCGUGGGGGAUGACGGCUUUCGGGUUGUAAAGUACUUUCAGCGGGGAGGAGGUUAAUAUCCUUGUCAAUUGACGUUACCCGCAGAAGAAGCCCCGGCUAACUCCGUGCCAGCAGCCGCGGUAAUUC
rnacentral:rRNA from 1 species